rnacentral:rRNA from 1 species
UGGGGAAUUUUGGACAAUGGGCGCAAGCCUGAUCCAGCCAUGCCGCGUGCGGGAAGAAGGCCUUCGGGUUGUAAACCGCUUUUGUCAGGGAAGAAAUCUUCUGAGUUAAUACCUCGGGAGGAUGACGGUACCUGAAGAAUAAGCACCGGCUAACUACGUGCCAGCAGCCGCGGUAAUACGUAGGGUGCAAGCGUUAAUCGGAAUUACUGGGCGUAAAGCGUGCGCAGGCGGUUUUGUAAGACAGAGGUGAAAUCCCCGGGCUCAACCUGGGAACUGCCUUUGUGACUGCAAGGCUUGAGUGCGGCAGAGGGGGAUGGAAUUCCGCGUGUAGCAGUGAAAUGCGCAGAUAUGCGGAGGAACACCGAUGGCGAAGGCAAUCCCUGGGCCUGCACUGACGCUCAUGCACGAAAGCGUGGGGAGCAAACAGGAUUAGAUAGCCCUGGUAGUCCACGCCCUAAAACGAUGUCAACUGGUUGUUGGGAAGGUUCCUUCUCAGUAACGUAGCUAACGCGUGAAGUUGACCGCCUGGGGAGUACGGCCGC